rnacentral:rRNA from 1 species
UACGUAGGGUCCGAGCGUUGUCCGGAAUUAUUGGGCGUAAAGGGCUCGUAGGCGGUCUGUUGCGUCGGGAGUGAAAACUUACAGCUUAACUGUGAGCGUGCUUCCGAUACGGGCAGACUGGAGGUAUGCAGGGGAGAACGGAAUUCCUGGUGUAGCGGUGAAAUGCGCAGAUAUCAGGAGGAACACCGGUGGCGAAGGCGGUUCUCUGGGCAUGACCUGACGCUGAGGAGCGAAAGCGUGGGGAGCGAACAGG